GCUUUUUAAGUAUAAAAAAGUACACAAAAUUGCAAAUUUUUAGGUUAAAAGGUC
rnacentral:tRNA from 1 species